rnacentral:rRNA from 1 species
UAAUAGUUAUGUUCUUGAAAAUUAAAGGAGUUGGCGGUAUUUUAGUCUAUUCAGAGGAACCUGUUCUGUGAUUGAUGGUCCACGAUCUUUAGUACUUGAUUUAGAUAAGUUUACAUAUCGCCGUGGGUUGAAUGUUUUUUAAAAAUUUGAACGUUCAAUAAAUUUAUAAGAAAAAAAUUCAGGUCAAGAUGUAGCUAAUAGUUAAGAAGAGAUGGGUUACAAUAGAUAUAUUUAUUACGGAUUAAGCGAUUGAAAUUUUUUAUGAAGGCGGAUUUGAUGGUAAU